rnacentral:rRNA from 1 species
CCUACGGGUGGCAGCAGUGAGGAAUAUUGGUCAAUGGACGAGAGUCUGAACCAGCCAAGUAGCGUGAAGGAUGACUGCCCUAUGGGCUGUAAACUUCUUUUAUAUGGGAAUAAAAUGUUCCACGUGUGUGAUUUUGUAUGUACCAUAUGAAUUAGGAUCGGCUAACUCCGUGCCAGCAGCCGCGGUAAUACGGAGGAUCCGAGCGUUAUCCGGAUUUAUUGGGUUUAACGGGAGCGUAGGUGGAUUGAUAAGUCAGUUGUGAAAGUUUGCGGCUCAACCGGAGAAUUGCAGUUGAAACUGGCAGUCUUGAGUACAGUAGAGGUGGGCGGAAUUCGAGGUGUAGCGGUGAAAUGCUUAGAUAUCACGAAGAACACCGAUGGCGAAGGCAGUUCACUGGACUGCAACUGACACUGAGGCUCGAAAGUGUGGGUAUCAAACAGGAUUAGAUACCCUUGUAGUC